rnacentral:rRNA from 1 species
GCGUGGAUUAGGCAUGCAAGUCGAGCGAGAAGCUUACUUUUGAUCUUUCGGGUGAAGAAGUGAGUGGAAAGCGGCGAAAGGGAGAGUAACGCGUAGAUCACGUACCCGAGGGUUCGGAAUAGCGGGGGGAAACCGCCGGUAAUGCCGAAUAAUGUCUCCGGACCAAAGGUUUACUGCCCUCGGAGCGGUUUGCGUACUAUUAGUUAGUUGGUGGGGUAAAAGCCUACCAAGGCGAAGAUGGUUAGCGGGUGUGAGAGCAUGGCCCGUCUCACUGGGACUGAGACACUGCCCAGACACCUACGGGUGGCUGCGGUCGAGAAUCUUCCACAAUGGACGAAAGUCUGAUGGAGCGACGCCGCGUGCGGGAUGAAGGCCUUCGGGUUGUAAACCGCUGUCAGAGGGGAGGAAAUUUUGACCGAUCCUCAGAGGAAGCACAAGCUAAGUUCGUGCCAGCAGCCGCGGUAAUACGAACUGUGCGAACGUUAUUCGGAAUCACUGGGCUUAAAGGGUGCGUAGGCGGCUACGAAGGUCAGAUGUGAAAUCCCACGGCUCAACCGUGGAACUGCGUUUGAAACCGCGUAGCUUGAGGGAGUCAGAGGUAAGCGGAACUGAUGGUGGAGCGGUGAAAUGCGUUGAUAUCAUCAGGAACACCGGUGGCGAAAGCGGCUUACUGGGACUUUUCUGACGCUGAGGCACGAAAGCCAGGGGAGCGAACGGGAUUAGAUACCCCGGUAGUCCUGGCUGUAAACGAUCAGUACUAGUCUGUGGGGACUUCCACAUCCUCUCGGACGUAGCGAAAGUGUCAAGUACUGCGCCUGGGGAGUAUGGUCGCAAGGCUGAAACUCAAAGGAAUUGACGGGGGCUCACACAAGCGGUGGAGGAUGUGGCUUAAUUCGAGGCUACGCGAAGAACCUUACCCAGGCUUGACGUGUUUAGGAACGUCUGUGAAAGCAGAAAGUGCCCUUCGGGGAGCCUUUACGCAGGUGCUGCAUGGCUGUCGU